rnacentral:rRNA from 1 species
UGGCGGCGUGCCUAAUACAUGCAAGUAGAACGCUGAAGGAGGAGCUUGCUUCUCUGGAUGAGUUGCGAACGGGUGAGUAACGCGUAGGUAACCUGCCUGGUAGCGGGGGAUAACUAUUGGAAACGAUAGCUAAUACCGCAUAAUAGCAGUUGUUGCAUGACAGCUGUUUGAAAGGUGCAAUUGCACCACUACCAGAUGGACCUGCGUUGUAUUAGCUAGUUGGUGGGGUAACGGCUCACCAAGGCGACGAUACAUAGCCGACCUGAGAGGGUGAUCGGCCACACUGGGACUGAGACACGGCCCAGACUCCUACGGGAGGCAGCAGUAGGGAAUCUUCGGCAAUGGACGGAAGUCUGACCGAGCAACGCCGCGUGAGUGAAGAAGGUUUUCGGAUCGUAAAGCUCUGUUGUAAGAGAAGAACGAGUGUGAGAGUGGAAAGUUCACACUGUGACGGUAUCUUACCAGAAAGGGACGGCUAACUACGUGCCAGCCGCCGCGG